GUGAGCAGACCCUGUCAUGCCCCCAGGCCAGGCGCUGCCCAGAGCUGCCACCUUACAGCGCUGUAGUCUCCAGUGGGUCGCUAAUCUCUGUGCCAUCACCAUCUCCAGCCCUGGCUCUUGGCCUCAGGUUAGGGCUUGGUCAAGGCCAUGUGAGCCUGAUCUCUUUUCUCUCUCCCCCAAAGAAAUGAAGGGGCCAGAGGUUCAACAAUGGCAUCCAAGCUCACACGUGUGCCGGAUCCUGUUGGAGACACUGGAGGCUGGACCCAAGAAAGCAGUGGGCCCCUACCCUAUGGAGCUGAGAGACAGACAGUGGGCAAGUCACAGAGGGAGAGAACCAGGUUGGAGAGGCGGCAUGAUACGCCCCAGGCUACACAGCUGCAAGAGGCAGAGUGGCUUGCACAGCAGCUCCUGCCUCCUCCCAGGCUGCCCGCACAUGCCUGCUGCCAGUCCUGGGCAUGCCCAUCCUUUCCCACCCACUGUAGGAGCCUGUGACCUGGCCUCAUGGCCAGUGGGGGCUGCGUGUCUGGCAGGUGUUUCCAGGAAUCACAACUCCUGCAAUAUCAUGCACAGAGGGAGGCGGCGUGCAGUGGCAUGAGCUCUGCAUUCCAGGACAGAGGAAGGAGGGCUGGAAUGGUGACGAGGAGCUGUGCCAUCUGAGCAUGCCGAAGACAGGAGGGCGGAGGAUCAGAGCACCCAGAGGUUUGCCGAGGUCACCAGUCGGGGUCCUGUGGGAGCAGGGGACACAGGUGGGUCAAGGAUGAUAACAGGCUGGUGAUAUGCA